rnacentral:rRNA from 2 species
UGGGGAAUAUUGCACAAUGGAGGGAACUCUGAUGCAGCGACGCCGCGUGAACGAAGAAGGCUUUCGAGUCGUAAAGUUCUUUUAUAUGGGAAGAUAAUGACGGUACCAUAAGAAAAAGCCCCGGCUAACUACGUGCCAGCAGCCGCGGUAAUACGUAGGGGGCUAGCGUUGUCCGGAAUCACUGGGCGUAAAGGGUUCGCAGGCGGAAAUGCAAGUCAGGUGUAAAAGGCAGUAGCUUAACUACUGUAAGCAUUUGAAACUGCAUAUCUUGAGAAGAGUAGAGGUAAGUGGAAUUUUUAGUGUAGCGGUGAAAUGCGUAGAUAUUAAAAAGAAUACCGGUGGCGAAGGCGACUUACUGGGCUCAUUCUGACGCUGAGGAACGAAAGCGUGGGUAGCAAACAGGAUUAGAUACCCUGGUAGUCCACGCUGUAAACGAUGAGUGCUAGGUAUCGGAAGAAUUCGGUGCCGCAGUUAACACAUUAAGCACUCCGCCUGGGGAGUACGUGCGCAAGCAUGAAACUCAAAGGAAUUGACGGGGACCCGCACAAGCAGCGGAGCAUGUGGUUUAAUUCGAAGCAACGCGAAGAACCUUACCAGGGCUUGACAUACUGAGGACCGGUAUAGAGAUAUACCCUCUUCUUCGGAAGCCUCAAUACAGGUGGUGCAUGGUUGUCGUCAGCUCGUGUCGUGAGAUGUUCAGUUAAGUCUGGCAACGAGCGCAACCCCUAUCUUUAGUUACCAGCAUUUCGGAUGGGGACUCUAAAGAGACUGCCGAUGAUAAAUCGGAGGAAGGUGGGGAUGACGUCAAAUCAUCAUGCCCUAUAUGCCCUGGGCUACACACGUGCUACAAUGGAAGAUACAAAGGGAAGCGAAAUAGUGAUAUUAAGCAAACCUCAAAAAGUCUUUCCCAGUUCGGAUUGUACUCUGCAACUCGAGUACAUGAAGAUGGAGUUGCUAGUAAUCGCAGAUCAGAAUGCUGCGGUGAAUGCGUUCCCGGGUCU